UUAUGGCUCAGGAUGAACGCUAGCUACAGGCUUAACACAUGCAAGUCGAGGGGUAGCAGGGUAGCAAUACCGCUGACGACCGGCGCACGGGUGAGUAACACGUAUCCAACUUCCCAUAAUUCAGGGAUAGCCUUUCGAAGAAAGAUUAAUACCUGAUGGUACCUUUUUCUGGGCAUCCAGUUAAGGUUAAAGAUUUAUCGGUUAUGGAUGGGGAUGCGUUCCAUUAGAUUGUUGGUGAGGUAACGGCUCACCAAGUCUUCGAUGGAUAGGGGUCUGAGAGGAAGGUCCCCCACAUUGGUACUGAGACACGGACCAAACUCCUACGGGAGGCAGCAGUGAGGAAUAUUGGUCAAUGGGCGAGAGCCUGAACCAGCCAAGUAGCGUGAAAAGGAUGAAGGUCCUAUGGAUUGUAAACUUCUUUUAUAACAGAAUAAAGUGAGCCACGUGUGGUUUUUUGUAUGUAUGUUAUGAAUAAGGAUCGGCUAACUCCGUGCCAGCCGCCGC
rnacentral:rRNA from 1 species